AUUGAACGCUGGCGGCAUGCCUUACACAUGCAAGUCGAACGGUAACAGGUCUUCGGAUGCUGACGAGUGGCGAACGGGUGAGUAAUACAUCGGAACGUGCCCGAUCGUGGGGGAUAACGGAGCGAAAGCUUUGCUAAUACUGCAUACGAUCUACGGAUGAAAGCAGGGGACCGCAAGGCCUUGCGCGGACGGAGCGGCCGAUGGCAGAUUAGGUAGUUGGUGGGAUAAAAGCUUACCAAGCCGACGAUCUGCAGCUGGUCUGAGAGGACGACCGCCCACACGGGGACUGGGACACGGCCCAGAUGCCUACGGGGGGCAGAGGGGGGGAAUUUGGGACAAUGGGCGCAAGCCUGAUCCAGCCUGGCCGCGUGCGGGAUGAAGGCCUUCGGGUUGUAAACUGCUUUUGUACGGAACAAAAUCCGUCGGGCUAAUACCCUGACGGGAUGACGGUACCGGAAGAAUAAGCACCGGCUAACUACGUGCCAGCCGCCGCCGUAA
rnacentral:rRNA from 1 species